rnacentral:rRNA from 3 species
CUCUCGGCAAUGGAUAUCUCGGCUCUUGCAUCGAUGAAGAACGUAGUGAAAUGCGAUACUUGGUGUGAAUUGCAGAAUCUCGCGAACCAUUGAGUCUUUGAACGCAAGUUGUGCCCGAGGCCUUGUGGUCGAGGGCACGCCUGCUUGGGUGUCAUGAC